rnacentral:rRNA from 1 species
UACAGAGGUCCCAAGCGUUGUUCGGAUUCACUGGGCGUAAAGGGUGCGUAGGCGGUCGGGUAAGUCUGAUGUGAAAUCUCACAGCUUAACUGUGAAACUGCAUUGGAUACUAUCCGGCUCGAGGAAUGGAGGGGAGACUGGAAUACUUGGUGUAGCAGUGAAAUGCGUAGAGAUCGGGAGGAACACCAGAGGCGAAGGCGGCGACCUGGACAAGUACUGACACUCAACUACGAAAGCGUGGGUAGCAAACAGG